GAUGAAGAACGCAGUGAAAUGCGAUAAGUAAUGUGAAUUGCAGAAUUCAGUGAAUCAUCGAAUCUUUGAACGCACCUUGCGCCCUUUGGACAUUCCGAAGGGCAUGCCUGUUUGAGUAUCAUGAACACCUCAACUCUCACGGCUUGUCCGUGAUGAGCUUGGACUUUGGGGGUCUUGCCGGCCUGUGGUCGGCUCCUCUCAAAUGGAUCAGCUUGCCAGUGUUUGGUGGCAUCACAGGUGUGAUAACUAUCUGCGCUUGUGGUUUUCCAUCAGAUAACCUUCAGUGAUAUGGAGGUUCGCUGGAGCUCACAAAUGUCUCUCCUUAGUGAGGACAGCUCUUUGAACGUUUGAUCUCAAAUCAGGUAGGACUACCCGCUGAACUUAAGCAUAUCAAUAAGCGGAGGA
rnacentral:misc_RNA from 1 species